ensembl:lncRNA
GUUCAUGAAUCUCCCGUCCGCAGUGGUGUUCAUGAAUCGCCCGUCCGCAGUGGUGUUCAUGAAUCGCCCGUCCGCAGUGGUGUUCAUGAAUCGCCCGUCCGCAGUGGUGUUCAUUAAAUGCCCGUCCGCAUCCGUUCAUGAUCUCAUUUUGAUUGUAAGACACAUCGUGGCGAUUAGCCAAUCAAACUGCUCUAUUUUCACGAGGAGGGCGUAAUCUAUCAGAAUCAUCAACAGCUGCCUGUUUGUUUGAUAGCCUGUAGCCCAACGGUCAAUGCCAGCCACCUUAAGAAGAGUAACUAGGCUUAUGCACUUCACUGGGGCAGUUAAGAAGGGCAACUAGGCUUAUUCACUUCACUGGGGCAGUUAAGAAGGGCAACUAGGCUUGUUCACUUCACUGGGGCAGUUAAGAAGGGUAACUAGGCUUAUCCACUUCACUGGGGCAGUUAAGAAGGGCAACUAGGCUUCAACUUCACUGGGGCAGUUAAGAAGAGUAACUAGGCUUAUUCACUUCACUGGGGCAGCCUGGGUGUUACAUUAUAUAGGUAACAUUAUAUUGUUUAUUUAAGUUUAUUUAUGUUUAUAGAUUAUAAUUGAAGCAUAAGCCAGUAAAUUUAGAGUUUGUCCGGUAAAAUUAUUCCUUUCAGGACACCGGGCAGUCAACCCUGAUACACACACCCCCCCACACACACACUGACUUACACACACACAAACACACACACACACACACAGAGAGCAGGUACAGGUAACUCACACACACACACACAGAGAGAGCAGGUACAGGUAACACACACACACACUCACACACACACUCACACACAGAGAGAGAGCAGGUACAGGUAACACACACACACACACAAAUAGCACAUGGUCUUUGGUACAGUGGUUUCAGAAGACUUUUAUCUUUAAUUUAUUUUGUUAAAUCAAGUCUUUGUGUUUUCAUUUCAAGCCAGGAAUUAGUGUGUUUAGUUUUCAAUGUAAUCUAGAUCAUGUAUGUGUUUGUAAUCUAGAUCAUGUAUUUGUUUGUAAACUAGAUCACGUAUGUAUUUGUAAACUAGAGCAUGUUUGUGUUUGUAAUCUAGAUCUUGUUUGUGUUUGUAAACUAGAUCAUGUAUGUGUUACUGUAUCUGAAAUGUAAACUAGAUCUUGUUUGUGUUUGUAAACUAGAUCAUGUAUUUGUUUGUAAACUAGAUCAUGUAUUUGUUUGUAAACUAGAUCAUGUAUUUGUUUGUAAACUAGAUCAUGUAUUUGUUUGUAAACUAGAUCAUGUAUUUGUUUGUAAACUAGAUCAUGUAUUUGUUUGUGUAUCUGAGAUGUAAACUGUGGAGCAUGCCUGAGGUACAUUGUUGACAAGUGAAAGGUAUUUUUGUAUAACAUUAGGCACAUGGUAAAGUGUGUGAGUGUGUAUGCGUGUGUGUGUGUGUGUGUGUGUGUGUGUGUGUGUGUGUGUGUGUGUGUGUGUGUGUGUGUGUGUGUUACAUUAGGCACAUGGUAAAGGUCCUGUGUGUUAUUUCACUGUUAUUCUUUUCUACAUGUGAGGUUAUUAUUAAACACAAAUUAAACUUGUGUAUCAGCCUACUGCACUGCC